GGUCCCGUGGUGUAGUGGUUAACAUGCCUGCCUGUCACGCAGGAGACAUGCCUGCCUGUCACGCAGGAGAUCGCCGGUUCGACCCCGGUCGGGACCGCCA
rnacentral:tRNA from 1 species